UACAGAGGGUGCGAGCGUUAAUCGAAAUUACUGGGCGUAAAGAGCGCGUAGGCGGUGAUGUGUGUGGGAUGUGAAAGCCCCGGGCUUAACCUGGGAAGAGCAUACCAAACUAUAUUACUGGAGUAGGGCAGAGGGCGGCGGAAUUUCCGGUGUAGCGGUGAAAUGCGUAGAGAUCGGAAGGAACGUCAAUGGCGAAGGCAGCCGCCUGGGCUCAUACUGACGCUGAGGUGCGAAAGCGUGGGGAGCGAACAGG
rnacentral:rRNA from 1 species